AGUACGUACGCAAGUAUGAAACUUAAGGAAUUGGCGGGGAGCACCACAAGGGGUGAAGCCUGCGGUUCAAUUGGAGUCAACGCCAGAAAUCUUACCCGGAGAGGCAGCAGAAUGAAGGUCAAGCUGAAGACUUUACCAGACAAGCUGAGAGGUGGUGCAUGGCCGUCGCCAGCUCGUGCCGUGAGAUGUCCUGUUAAGUCAGGUAACGAGCGAGAUCCCUGCCUCUAGUUGCCACCAUUACUCUCAGGAGUAGUGGGGCGAAUUAGCGGGACCGCCGCAGUUAAUGCGGAGGAAGGAAGGGGCCACGGCAGGUCAGUAUGCCCCGAAACUCUGGGGCCACACGCGGGCUGCAAUGGUAAUGACAAUGGGUUCCGAAUCCGAAAGGAGGAGGUAAUCCCCAAACAUUACCACAGUUAUGACUGAGGGCUGCAACUCGCCCUCACGAAUAUGGAAUCCCUAGUAAUUGCGUGUCAUUAUCGCGCGGUGAAUACGUCCCUGCUCCU
rnacentral:rRNA from 1 species